GACGAACGCUGGCGGCGUGCUUAACACAUGCAAGUCGAACGGAAAGGCCCUGCUUUUGUGGGGUGCUCGAGUGGCGAACGGGUGAGUAACACGUGAGUAACCUGCCCUUGACUUUGGGAUAACUUCAGGAAACUGGGGCUAAUACCGGAUAGGAGCUCCUGCUGCAUGGUGGGGGUUGGAAAGUUUCGGUGGUUGGGGAUGGACUCGCGGUUUAUCAGCUUGUUGGUGGGGUAGUGGCUUACCAAGGCUUUGACGGGUAGCCGGCCUGAGAGGGUGACCGGCCACAUUGGGACUGAGAUACGGCCCAGACUCCUACGGGAGGCAGCAGUGGGGAAUAUUGCACAAUGGGCGGAAGCCUGAUGCAGCAACGCCGCGUGCGGGAUGACGGCCUUCGGGUUGUAAACCGCUUUCGCCUGUGACGAAGCGUGAGUGACGGUAAUGGGUAAAGAAGCACCGGCUAACUACGUG
rnacentral:rRNA from 1 species